rnacentral:lncRNA from 10 species
CUUUUAUUUGAACCUGAGAUGCCCACUGAGAGUCCAGAGAGGUGACAAGAAGGAGCUGAUGGCCACGCACAGUACUCAGGGAGAGAUGCGGCUGAAGGGCAUUUAGCCCAGGUGAAGAAACUGAGUCACAGAGAAGUUGAGGGACUUUCCCAAAGACACAUAGCAGGUGAUGGCAGAGGCUUGACUGGAACACAGAGGGGUCCUCUGAGUUCGGGAUACUCCUCAGCUGAACUCCUGUGUGAAAGCGCAGGGGCUGCUCUGAAUAGGGGAAGGGGACAGAAGCCUCCCUCAAGAACAGGCUUCCAUCAGCUCACGGUCGGAGCUGUACCAUGUUGAGCAAACCACCUUCUGUUCCAGCAGCUCAAUGUGCAAUGAACUUUCAUUCCACUGCAGCCCAGGCUCAGGGCACAAAGCCACUGUCUCAGGGUGCCAGUUGGCGGGAACAUAGGGCUUGUAAACUGUGCACUUCACAGAGAAUCUGAUGGCUUCUGAAACACACUGAUGUCCCAAGUAGAGGCAGCACUGUGCGUUGUGACAUGGGAGGAGGCUGUGACACUCACUCACCCCUGGACAGAGCAGUGUUUUUCCAUGUGGUCCUCCCCCAUGGAUAGUCUCUCCUUUAUCCUAACGUGCAGGAAUCCUCUAAGCUAUUGUUUUCCCCUUUGCAAUGGACCCCAGCUCCUGCAAAUCCAGGAACUAGUUUUUUUCUAGGUGGACAGAGAAAAAUGGCACCUAAUUAAGAUUAGACGUGCUUUUGCCAUUCUUUGAAACUUAUUCCCCUCUGCAAGUUAAUAAUCUCUAUUGAACACACUUUUCAGGGUGAAUAAUUCACUCUGGGGGACAGUGGCAGUGUGAACUGUCCCUGAUUUACCUUACAUGGCUUGGAACUUUGAAAAUAUCUCCCUUUAACUGUGGAGUUGAAAUAGCUCAGAAUUCCUAUAAUAAUUGUAAUUACAGCUGCUGUUUAGUUAGUCCCAGUGAUGUACUAGAUACUUCACAUCCAUGUUCUCAGCUUCCCAGAAAACCCCUGCAAGCUGGGAAUUAUCGUCCCCACUAGAAAGAGAGAGGGAGAGAGAGAUGUAUAUCUCAGAGAGGUUAAAUAACUGACUUAAAGUCACAUAGCUGAUCAGAUCUGACGUAAGAUUGGAACCAGAUCUGCCUGCCCAUGGUUCCUUCAUUGCCCAUGCUACUCUGACUCAAGGAAGGACCUUAACCUUAAUCUUGUCCCCCGCUGCAGGCUCUGCAGGUGAAGACACUCAUCCUCAGAGGGGAGGCUGUGGGAGAGUUAAGGAUAGCUGAGGAGUUCUCAGAAGCGGGGCAGUGGCUCAGUUUCCUCCUGUGCGGAAUGGCAGGUGGAGGAGUGAGGGGUGAUGGCAAGUUGGGGACAGGCUAGACCCAGGCGGCCCAGAGAUCCAUGUAAGGGGCACCGGGGAAAGGCAACGUGCCUGGAGUGGGACAGACUGUUGUCUAGCUCAGCGCAGCAGAAAGAGCAGGAUGGCCGGGUGUCGGCCACAGACCUGCAUCACACAUCCCCUUCAGCUACCUGCUGGUGCCACUAGCCUGGAUGUAACGCUUCUUCACAGCUCUUCCACCAGGGCAUCCACGGCAGGCUCAGCUCCUCCUGCUGGGUUUUCCAGGUCUCUGUGUUCUGUAGCUAAAUCACCCUCCAGCUGUGUGUGUCCGCACAAUUUCUGCUGGAUUUUAAAAAACAAGCUUUGUGUGUGCACGUGUGCUUGAGCUUGUGUGUGUCUUUAAUUCGGUAGAUCCAAUCUAGAAGGAAGGGCGUCA